rnacentral:rRNA from 1 species
CCUACGGGAGGCAGCAGUGGGGAAUAUUGGACAAUGGGGGCAACCCUGAUCCAGCCAUGCCGCGUGUGUGAAGAAGGCCCUCGGGUUGUAAAGCACUUUCAGUGAGGAAGAACGCCUGGUGGUUAAUACCCAUCAGGAAAGACAUCACUCACAGAAGAAGCACCGGCUAACUCCGUGCCAGCAGCCGCGGUAAUACGGAGGGUGCGAGCGUUAAUCGGAAUUACUGGGCGUAAAGCGCGCGUAGGUGGCUUGAUAAGCCGGUUGUGAAAGCCCCGGGCUCAACCUGGGAACGGCAUCCGGAACUGUCAAGCUAGAGUGCAGGAGAGGAAGGUAAAAUUCCCGGUGUAGCGGUGAAAUGCUUAGAGAUCGGGAGGAAUACCAGUGGCGAAGGCGGCCUUCUGGACUGACACUGACACUGAGGUGCGAAAGCGUGGGUAGCAAACAGGAUUAGAUACCCUGGUAGUC